GCCGCCAACAUCUAAAAGAAUUUUCCUCUCUGAUAGAAGAUUUACAAUGAAAUUAUUUAAAAAAUAAGGAACCUUUAAUUUAUCUAAUUUACUUUUUAGAAUAUGUAACAAAACAUUAUCAUAAGCCGAAUUAAUAUCCAAGAAAGCUGCGACUACUGACUUUUUAUUUGAGAAAGCAUUACGAAUGUCCGUGACUAAUAUGCCUAAAUUGUCACACACACUUUUACCUUUUCGAAAUCCAAACUGAGUUGGUGACAGAUAUUUAUUAUUUUCUAUAUACCAUUCAAGCCGAUUUUUAAUUAAAUGUUCAACAACUUUUGUUAUCACCGAUGACAAGACUAUAGGACGGUAUGAUUUAAUAUCAGAUCGAAUCUUAGACGGUUUUAAAAAUGGCAGCACUAUUUGACUUCGCCAAGAUGGCGGUAUGUCAUUUGUCAAUAGAACUUUAUUUAUUAAAUUUAAAAAGUAAUUUAAUCCAUUUUCGCCAAGGUGAGACAAAAAGGAAUAUGGGAUCCCAUCUUCCCCAGGAGCACUGUCUUUAACGUAAUUUAAUACACCUUUUAAUUCUAAUAACGUAAAAGGUAGAUUUAGUGAGGAAGGGACAACAUCAGAGUUAUUUUGUGUAGAAGAGUGGAUGAGAUCUGGAGCAGAAGGAGGAGCCAAGCGAUCAAGGAAUUGAUCAGCUAAUUCUAUAGGAAGCAACGACGGGUUAGAAGGAUUGAUAGCUGACCUGAAUCUUUUGAUAUUUCGCCAAAUGACAGAAGAAUUUAUUCCAGGGAAAUGAAAUGAUUAUGGGAUAAUGAUCACUAUUGUAAGAUGAACACAAAGUAGACCAAGAGAGAGAAGAUGCUAAAUUGGGAGUACAGAUGGACAGGUCAAUGGCACUAAUUACUUCACCAGGCUUUGUAAGGCGAGUAGGAGAACCCGUAUUUAAAAUGCACAGGUUAUACAUGUCUAAGAUAUCCAAUAAUUCAUACCCGUACCUAUUAGAUACUGAACUACCCCACGAUGUAUGAUGAGAGUUGAAAUCACCCAGAAUCAUGAAAGGCUGAGGGAGAACUGAAAUUAAGUUUUUUAUUUCAUUGAAUAUUUGCAAGGAGGGGUGAGGGACAUAUACAGAGACAAAACAGAUACCAUCAACAAUAGCUGUAAUGAUAGAAAAGCUGUUACUAUGUGAAGGAAGAGGGAAGGAAGAAAAGAUGCUUGAGUUUCUGAUGAGCAGGCAUACACCACCAUACCCAUCAGCCCUGUCUUCUCUUAAGCAAGAAUAACCAGGGAUUUUGAAUACCUGAUCUGGCUUUAGCCAGGUUUCAGAUAAAGAAAAAAUAAAAGGAUUAAAAUUA